GUAGGGAGCAAGCGUUGUUCGGAAUUAUUGGGCGUAAAGAGCGCGUAGGCGGCCAGGUAAGUCUGGUGUGAAAUCCCACAGCUCAACUGUGGAACUGCAUUGGAAACUGCUUGGCUAGAGUGCGGGAGAGGAGAGUGGAAUUCCCAGUGUAGAGGUGAAAUUCGUAGAUAUUGGGAGGAACACCAGUGGCGAAGGCGGCUCUCUGGACCGCAACUGACGCUGAGGCGCGAAAGCUAGGGGAGCGAACGGGAUUAGAUACCCCGGUAGUCCUAGCCGUAAACGAUGGGCACUAGGUGUAGGAGGUAUCGGCCCCUUCUGUGCCGUAGCUAACGCAUUAAGUGCCCCGCCUGGGGAGUACGGUCGCAAGACUA
rnacentral:rRNA from 1 species